AGAGCACACAUUAAUUUGCCUCCCGGAGUGUAAAGACAUCAAAGCGAAGACAGGGAACCUAAGGUUGAGGAUUCCAAACUGCCUUUCAGUGAAAGGUGCUGUAAAGAGGAAGAUAUAAAGAGGAAGAUGUGCCUGCGUUAUCUCCAUUGGUGUUUGGAGUGGGGUGAAGCAGAAGAUAGGAGCAGGUUCAACAGGGAGAAUGUAGCCUUUUGAGACCACGACUUGGAGAAGUAGGACCUAUUUCCAGCUUUGUCAAGCACUGUGAUCAUGAAAAGCUCCUGAGUUGUACCAGUGAUUAACUGGUAUGUUGAAGGAUUUGAAAACUUCACCUGGAGCAGAGAAGCAGGUCUUUUGUUGAAAAGAAUGACUUUGGAAAAACUGAAUGCUUCUACAGAGGAGUGGGACUGAGAGGCAGAGAUUUCCAUUUUUCCCCCACUAUUUGGAAAGGGUUGCAAGGGGCUGUGGCUUCCAUGAGAAGAGAGCUAAGAACCUGGACAUCACUUAAGAUAGGGCUGAUAUCCAAACCAAGCAACUGAAAUAAAACAUGGCUUCCUUCCCCGAGAUGGUUUCAUAGCCCAGCUCUCCAGCUUUCUCUCCUACCACAAACAUGCAACACAAUUGUGCAACAGCCUAGGAAGGAAUGGUGAGAUCAGAGCCGUGACUGCAGACAUCCUGACAUGGGGAUCUGGCAGCUAUUCAACACAAACACAAUUAGAAGACUUACCCUUGCGUGAAGUAUUUGCUUUCUUGAUAGUCACCAGCCUUAACCUCUAGGAAUGCUUACGAAUCAGAUAGCGUUCCUUGAGGAGGGCGAGCCUUUUCAAGCUCGUCUGUCUUGCUUUAGCCAAGACAGACAUAAAGAAGAAAAAUUCCACUGCAUCAUGCAACUUCUCCAAGUGAAAGCGCUUCAGAGGACAGAAGAGUUGUGGUCUCAAAUCUCUGCCAAGGAUUCAAGAACCAAAGAUCACAUGUUACUUGUUUCUCUCUCCCUCCAUUAUGAUCAGCAGGAAAAAAAUAACAGCAUAACAGACAAACCUUGACAUUCACAGCAAACAUGAAAGUAGGGGACUCCCUAAGUCCUGCUCAUUGGCUUUAUGUUACAGGAGGCUUCUCUGGCAAUGGCGAUACCAUAGAAUGAUGCAUUUGGCUUUGCAUAUCUUAGGAAACUUGGAGGAUGUGUGCAUCUGUGCAGCUCUUCGUGACUUUGUUCAUGUUUUUAGAAAAUGUAGCCUAUCGUACAUGUGUGUUAUCCAACCUACAAUAAAUUC